GACGAACGCUGGCGGCGUGCUUAACACAUGCAAGUCGAACGGAAAGGCCCUGCUUUUGUGGGGUGCUCGAGUGGCGAACGGGUGAGUAACACGUGAGUAACCUGCCCUUGACUUUGGGAUAACUUCAGGAAACUGGGGCUAAUACCGGAUAGGAGCUCCUGCUGCAUGGUGGGGGUUGGAAAGUUUCGGCGGUUGGGGAUGGACUCGCGGCUUAUCAGCUUGUUGGUGGGGUAGUGGCUUACCAAGGCUUUGACGGGUAGCCGGCCUGAGAGGGUGACCGGCCACAUGGGGACUGAGGUACGGCCCAGACUCCUACGGGAGGCAGCAGUGGGGAAUAUUGCACAAUGGGCGGAAGCCUGAUGCAGCAACGCCGCGUGCGGGAUGACGGCCUUCGGGUUGUAAACCGCUUUCGCCUGUGACGAAGCGGGAGUGACGGUAAUGGGUAAAGAAGCACCGGCUAACUACGUG
rnacentral:rRNA from 1 species